rnacentral:rRNA from 1 species
UACGGAGGGUGCAAGCGUUAUCCGGAUUCACUGGGUUUAAAGGGCGCGUAGGCGGCCAUGCGUGUCUUCCGUGAAAUCCCUCGGCUUAACUGAGGACGUGCGGAAGAAACUGCAAGGCUCGAGUCCGGGAGAGGGGGGGGGUGGAAUUCCCAGUGUAGCGGUGAAAUGCGUAGAUAUUGGGAGGAACACCGGUGGCGAAGGCGGCCCCCUGGACCGGUACUGGACGCUGAGGCGCGAAAGCGUGGGUAGCAAACGGG